CCGCCGCCUGGGGAGUACGGCCGCAAGGCUGAAACUUAAAGGAAUUGGCGGGGGGGCACCACAAGGGGUGAAGCUUGCGGCUUAAUUGGAGUCAACGCCGGAAACCUCACCCGGGGCGACAGCAGGAUGAAGGCCAGGCUAACGACCUUGCCGGACGAGCUGAGAGGAGGUGCAUGGCCGUCGUCAGCUCGUGCCGUGAGGUGUCCGGUUA
rnacentral:rRNA from 1 species